UGCUUCUGUGAAACUGUGGCGAGGAAGUACCGUCAGAUGUGAAAAUUGACAAUAUCUCAUCCACUUUUUCUGAAU